AGAGUCUGUGCAGAGGAGACAAGA
rnacentral:siRNA from 1 species